rnacentral:rRNA from 1 species
GGAGUUAGCCGGUGCUUCUUCUGUGAGUGAUGUCCUUCCUGCCGGUUAUUGACCCGCAGGCCUUCUUCCUCACUGAAAGUGCUUUACAACCCGAAGGCCUUCUUCACACACGCGGCAUGGCUGGAUCAGGGUUGCCCCCAUUGUCCAAUAUUCCCCACUGCUGCCUCCCGUAGGAGUCUGGGCCGUGUCUCAGUCCCAGUGUGGCUGAUCAUCCUCUCAGACCAGCUACGGAUCGUCGCCUUGGUGAGCCGUUACCUCACCAACCAGCUAAUCCGACAUAGGCUCAUCCGAUAGCGCGAGGCCCGAAGGUCCCCCGNUUUCCCCCGUAGGGCGUAUGCGGUAUUAGCCUGGGUUUCCCCAGGUUAUCCCCCACUACCGGGCAGAUUCCUAUGCAUUACUCACCCGUCCGCCGCUCGCCACCAGGGAGCAAGCUCCCCGUGCUGCCGCUCGACUUGCAUGUGUUAGGCCUGCCGCCAGCGUUCAAUCUGAGCCAUAAUCAAACUCUGA